UAGACAAAAUGUAUCCCUAAACCAUCAAGGGAUUUUCCUAAGCAAUUGGGAUUACUCCAAAAUACAUUGCAGAUUGGUAUCAACUCUCAUAUUUGAAUUUGUAUUCUAGCGCUGAGAGCAAUUUGUAGCGCAUUAUAAAUCGCAACUCCUCCCUCACAAUUCCAAAAGGCUCCUGUCUGUGACAAGCACUAAAUAUGCUGUUGCUACAGUAGCAACAUCAGAAAUGGCCCAGAGACAUCACACAAAUGUGAGUGACGGGAUGAAAUUUCUUAAUCACUUUAUAAACACAAUCCUUCAGUAUAGCCUGGUCUCCUUCGACUGGGAGGAAACAAAGCAGCAGGUAGACUGAGAAUGUUAAUUGCAACCUGAGAUGCUUGGCGUUCUGGCGCUGUUUAAAUGUUGUCAGGGCUGUCUUCCCAUUCAGGGCAACCACAGAAAGCUAACUUAUUCCCAUCAUCCUCAGGGGGGCAGAGAGAGAAAGAGGGAGGGAGGGCAAGAAAGCUAGCAAGCUAGCUCCUAUUGAGAAUCCAAGCCAGAUCCAUGGGAAAAUUUUCUAAAACUGCAAACUCUACAUCUAUGAAUUGACCUUAAUAAUGGCUUUUAUUAUUUAGAUGUAAUACAAUUUCGAAUGAUCUACAGAACAGUAAGGUCUCUAGUUAGGCAGGAGAUUGAGGUGCUUCUUGGACUGUUGUAUGAAAUCCGUCAGAGACAAUAGAGCUUUUGAUAGAUCUCCAUUCUAACAUUUUCAGAAAAGCAUUAACAAUAUAUCACACUUCGCUGCCAGCUGAAAACCCAUAAUGUUAUUCACAGAUUAUGUAUUUAGAUUGGGGAACUGGAGACAUUUUUGAAAUGCUAAUAGAAAGACACCCCCUCCAGAGGUUCUGAGAGUCUCUGUCUGCAUUUUUCAUAUUCACCUUACCACUUGACCACGUGACUGGGAAGAAAUGGAUGAUUUUGAAAUUGUUUCCUGGCUACCUGAACCCCACUUCCCACCAUAUGAUCUGCCCGUGUUCAAAGGGUUAUGUUCAGAAACAUUCUUCCAACUACUGGGCUGUGAUUCAAAGAGUUUAUAUAAGAAAGUGUCCAUGUCACGAUUUUCAACUGUAAGUCAAUUCAUUCUAAGGAAAGAGUUGCUUUGAAUAAUGAACUGAUAAUAAGACUAGGAAAAUUAAAAUUGAAUGUCAUGCAAAUAACAUGGGCAUAGGGAAUAUUCCUUAAGAUAUAGUUUUAUUCUUAUUGUUUUGAUUAAAAAUUAUACAGAAGCCCACAGAAUAGAAACACAAAUCAAAUUUAUAGCAGAUGCCUUUAUAGAGCCCUAAAACUUUCAAGUAUCCCAGAGGAAGUAGAAUUAAUUUAUGGUGAGUUUGGAGUCUUUGAUAUCUUUAUUAAGAUGAACAAGAAAGAAGCAUAUGGUGGGGGAAAUAAUAGGAAGGUAGACAUCUCUGACUAAAUGGUAUAAAGUUAGAGGAUUAAUUAAGAUACACUGACAAUAAGAAUACCAACUGCAGUGGCAUCAGCAGCCACAGCGAUAUGAGACAGACUGAGGGGAUAGGGGAAGGGAGUAGGGAGACGAGGUUGGCCAGCAUCAUAAUGCAAUGAGCUGUAUCUUUCCCCAUGGCUGGUCACCUAAUGUUCUUCCCAUUCACUGGAAUCUAGGAUCAGAUUGGGCUGUCGGGCACAGCAAAAAGGGAGAGACAAAAAGGCAAUCUUUGAAAAAAAAAAAAAGCACAAGGGUGGAAAUAAUUAAUUAAAGUCAGCUUCUAAAGUUCGUGUCUGGCAGAGACAACACAGAAAGUUGCAGUCUUAGGAGAAUGCCAGAAAUGCAUUUUAACUCCAACCCUUUCUCGCCGGUCAAGAUGUAUUUGAGCUUUUGACAAAUAAUUGAAUUGAUAAAUCUGACUUGCACUUUUAUCUCUUUACCCUGUCUAUCUAAGUAAUGCAGUUUGAAAAGGAGUAAGACAUAGGGCAUCUAUCAAACUGCAAAUCAAUGCUUCAGCUUUCAUUGAUCCUCAGAGACAACAGACUGUGGUGGGCCAGGGCUUUGGACUGAAGCAGAUCUGGGUAUGAGCAGAUAUGCCUGUGCACAGCUUCCUCCCCUAUAAAUUAGGUCAAGAGUAUGAGCACACGGGGAUGUCAAGAUGGUUCAUCAGGUAAAGGCAUGCGCUUGCUAGCCUGAUGAACUGUGUACCAUCCCUGGAACCCGUAGGGUGGGCAGAGAGAACUGACUCCUUCCAGUUGCCCUCUGACCUUCAUGUAUACACUGUGGUGCCAUAGUGCCUGCCUACCCACCCCAGGGGUGUUAAAAAAGCAGCAAGCACUGGGUGUUACAAGGAUUGUUAUGCAGUUAACUGUCUUUAUACAUUAUAAUAUUGCCAUCAAUAUUUUAUUAUUAUUGAUCACACAUGAAAAUAAAAUGGACUGGCAGGAAUUAUUUAUGUUGGGAAAAUUGGAUACAUUAUUCUAAAAUUUAUUGUACAUCUUUAAACACUUGAAGGAAAGUAUUAUUCUCCAAUUAAAGAUAUGAUAAAUACUAAUUUCAAAAUAACCUCCUUGGAGAUAUAUAUUCAUAUGGAUAAGUAUUUUACUUUAUGUAAUUUUCAUAUCCUAAUGCAAUUCAGAUCAGAGUUAAUAUAUAAUGAAAAAGCGGCUUUCGUGAAUAACUUAUUGUAGAAGUUGGCCAAUUGUGUGUGUGGUGUGUUUAAGGAACCUGUGGUGUUUGCAGCCACUCCAUUGGACAUUUAGUUAAUGGGACUGGCUUCUGUUUGACAGUGAAAAAAGAACAUUGCACAAGUCACCAUGUUCUAGAGAUUUCUUGCCAGCGUGCUUUAUGCUCAUUUGAUUGGUUACCUUUGUAAUUGUCCUAUGCCUGGCUAGAUUUCAAGCUUCAGAAAGGCCAUUUGAUUUUGUUAUUCUAUGUUGCCCUUGGAUUUUCAACAAACAGGACUUUAAAAAUGAAUAUUGGUCCUAACAUAAUUCCUCCUCAUAAAACAACCAAAAACAAAGAAAGUAAACUCUUUAGAUGGAAGUUAGUGAUUCAAAACCUUUUCAAGUAGAAUAAAAGAUUUCUCAUGGUGGUUUGCUGCACAAAAGGAGACUGAGAAUUUAUACUGGACUGUAGAAGGAAGCUUGUAUCAAACCUGUAUUUAUGUGGAAAACAACCAGAAAAAAUACAGACACACAUACACAGACAUUCAGACAGACAUACAGACACAUGCACAGGUACACACACAAACACAGACAGACAGACAGACACGUACACAGGUCCGCACGCACACGCGCGCACGCACAUACACACACACACACACACACACACACACACACACACACACACACACAAGAGAACCUGUAAUAAGUGGUUGGUCACUUUUAUUACCUUAUGUCUUCCAAAGGAUUUUUGUCAGAUCUAGGCCAAAGCUGAAUAAGGUGGUUGUCUCAAGCAGAAAAUUCCUGCUAGAAUUUUAAAAGAAGACAAUAGUAAUGUUUUUAUUAUAUAAGGUUAGAAUAGCAAAAAUUAAAUACUUGAGGGCUUAAAUAUUUUCGUUUGUUUUCUGUCGAAGCACUUGCCAAAUUUUGAAAGUAUGUUUGGUGAACCUAAGAAAACAAGGAUUUCCCACAGGCUUGGUGGUCUAUCAAAGAAAUUCAUUUUCUUAGUUUAAAACUCCUGAGUUUUAGGAAUGGGUUAAAUUAGAUCUGGAGUAAGUCUUACCAAAAUGCUGAUACAGCUGUGACUCAGUUUAGUCCCAGUUGAAUAAAUAUUACUCUACCCCCUAAAAAUGUAAUGUAUCUAGCGGAGGGAAUGUACAAAAUCUUUAGGGCUCAUCAAGUAUGUCAAUAAGACAGAGGUUAAAAAACAUAAUUACAUAACCAGAUUCCAAAAGAAAAGUCAGACUUUGGGAGAGACAGCCUAAUGGUUAAGUCUGCUCUUGCAGAGACCUGGGAUUUAAUUCCCAGCACCCAUAUGGCAGCUCACAAGUGUCUGUAACUACAGUCCUAGGACUUGUACGUAUGAACUUCAUGGGCAUCAGCCACACACACGGUGUGUAUGGUACACAAACGCAGGGAAAACACUCAUACAUAAAGAAUAACUAAAUCGACUUUUUAGUAUCAGACCAUAAAGACAGACUCACAGAUGGUCUGGCAUGCUUAUGUGUGAUUACUUUGUCUACAACGUUAACUAUUAUGCUGAGCAACACGAAAGGAAACAAAAACAUGUAGAUUUGUAGGAAAGUUUGCUGGAACCCUAAAAAUGUAAACAAAAGUUGAAAAAUAAGCUCUAGAAUAUGCAAAUUUAAUUACCUCAAAGAUAGAUGUUAGCGUAGGUUAGACAUAUAACAAAACAGGACUUGAAAAGACAGGGUAAUACAAAUUAUCCAAGUAAAAGAAUAGAUGAAAGAGUGGGGAUAGGCUUGUGUGGAAUAGAUAUGUAUUCACAAUGGAAGUAUUCAAUAUACAGAUCGAAUCCAAAUGAAAGCCAGGAAUAAGUUGGAUGAGUCAGACAGAAAUGUAAGGUGAUAUAAGCAAGGCUGAUUAUGUCAUAUUAAAUUUAGUGUCGAUGGACUAAAUUCUAGCAGUAAGACUAAGCUGGUGUGCUAGUUGAUUUUAAAUAUCAACUUACCACAACCUAGAACCACCUAAGAGGGAGCCUCAAAGAAUUACAUAGGUCAAAUUGGCCUUAGGGUGGGUCUGUGGGGAGCUGUGAGCCAAAGGCAUCCUUUCUCCCAUAAGUUCCCUUGGGUGAGGCAUUUUAUCUCAGCAGCAGAAAACAAGAUUAGAUGGUGUCCUGGAAAACAAAUUUUUAACAUACAGCUAUGUCAAAGGGUCGACUUUAUACCUUACAAUGCACAUGUUUUUGUGGUGUUUAUGCUAAAUAUCAAUUUGACAGGCUAUAGAACCACUCAGGAGACACACCUCCAAAGACAGCCGGGAGAGAUUAUCUAGAUUAGAUUAUAGAAGGUGUAGACCCUCCCUGGACGCCAGCAGCACCAGUCCCUGGUCUUGGCUUCUAGACCAUAUAACAAGGAGGCAGCUAGGUGACUGUGAGUACUUGCCACUCUUGACUCUCCACCUGAGGACACAGAGUGACAGGUACUUCAGUUGAUUGACAGCUCUUUUAAACUUCCUCAUUGUGGACAGCUUUUGGGGCCAUUUCUAGAAAUUUGGUAGGAAUUUGACAUUGGCCCAGGCUGAAGAAGUAGGCUUCAGGCCUGAAUUUGACUUUGGGCUAGGACAGGGAAGUAGGCUCAGACAAUCUUGGUCAUCCUGAUAAGUCCUUAGAAAUAGUGAUCACGGGAUUUUGCUUAUUGCCUUGUUUGUUCCUUGACUAUUUGUGUUUAUUGACUUGUCUUUUCUUUAAUCUAGAACUGACAUUAUUUGCGUGUAAUUGAAAUGGUAUAAAAGCAGACUGGAAAAAAAAACAAUUUUAGUCUCAGAACUGGCUGGAGUCAUGCUAUAGUGAUGUCUAAUUGUCUUUUUUCUUUUUAAUCCUUGCUCCCUCCCUGGAGAACCUGCUGACUGACUGAGCUGGCUUGGUCAGAUGGCACCUCAGUGUUGGAGAUCCAGUAAGCAGGAUAUAGUGAAGAACACUUCAGGAAUAGGAAGUGUGUGAAAAGGAAAGUAAAGAAGAUUUGGGCCAGCAGUGAAUAAACCCUGUAAAAAGGGACAAGAGCUGAGGACCGAACCCAGGGCCUUGUGCUUGCUAGGCAAGCGCUCUACCACUGAGCUAAAUCCCCAACCCAGCUGUUUGCAUUCUUGCUACUUCUCAUGCACCCAUAGCAAAAGGGACCAUAUUGUGGAUUCAUCUUUCUUCAUCUCCAAGAUGAUGGUGGCUUCUAGAGUGAUUGGUGAAACAUGCUGAUGCUGGGACAAAGAAUGAUGCUGACCUGUGAGUUGCUGAGUGCCUUCUUCGACAGUGGUAACAGGGAAGUUGUAUUGGGCAUAUGUUCCUAACCCACCUUUGCUUGCCUAUAUCCGAGAUUGGACAAGCUGCCUUGCCUCAAGCUUUUAGACCUGUAGUCAGAGAACAUGGAGACUGUGGAAACUGCCUUCAAAAAAAUUAAUCAAAUAGGGAAGAUAUAAUGACUCUUCUAUUUCCUUUAAUGUGACCAGAUACUCUGACUCAAUCAUGGACUGGUCUAGGAAUCAAUCCAAUAUUGGACAUGACAGUCUUCAUUUGGAAGACUAGUACUAGACAUUCAGAGACAUAUUUGAAAAUUGACAACUGCCUUGCAUAAAGUUACAUUUGCAGUGGAUAAAAUUGGGAUAGUAUCUAGAUUUCAAAUAAGGUUCCUAAUCUUUUAUUAAUUGCUCAUGUUAAAAUUACUUUUCUUUCUUCUACAGUAUUUAAUGUAAAUCAUGUUGAUUGAAUAUUUUCUAAUUGUGUUAGUGUGUUGAAACCUGGCAUGUCUGUUAUGGUGGUAUAUCAAUAAAACCAGCUUUUGUUUUAUUGCCUAUGAGUAUUUUGGGACAUUGGUAUUCUGAAAAAAAGUUUGCAAAUACUAUAAGAAGUCAAUCAUGCUUUAAGCGGAAGCAAGAGGGUAGUGGUCUUGAUUGUUGCUGGCAUAGCAGCCUUUAUUACAUUAAUAGCUAGCACCACUAGCUUCUGCAAUUGCUUUGACACAAGAAGUUAAGACAGCUACUUUUGUUAAUCAUUUAGCAAAAAAUGUUACUAAUGUUCAGAGUAUUCAAGAGGAUUUAGAUAAGCAUUUGGAACAAUGAAUUGAUGCUAUUCAAAUUAUUGGAGAGGAGGUUCAGAGUCUAAGAGUAAAAACCCAUCUUGAAUGUCAUGCUAAACACCAAUCCAUUUGGGUUACUUUUAAAAUUUAUAGUUGGGAGAAAGUUCAAAGACACUGGCAGGAUAUUUGGCAUAAUUUUAACACCUCUCUGGAUGUUUUAACUUUGCAUACCGAGAUUAUGAACUUAAAGAACCCUGCUCUGCUGAUAUUGCUGUCAAAUUAUUCAUGGUUUAAGGUCAGUAUUUCUAUCUCAGUCAAUCUUCAAGAAUGGCAUAUAAAGCUUGAUCGUGCUAGCCCUUCUUGUCCUGGGAAUACUUUUACUCCUUCUCAUUGUAAUAAAACUUGCCUUUAUCAACAUCAAUAUGUUGGGGGCCAAAAUAUGUAUUGGCUUGGAACUAAAUUUAACAGUGUGGCAGUCAGAGGCAAGUAAGUUUCUGCACAGAGCCUUAGCAACCUAAGACAUAAAUGCAUUGCUUUGAUAAUGCAUGUUCUACGAUGGGUAACGAAGGCAUUCUUGUCUGAACAACCUAAAAUAGAUGUAGUCUUGUUUAUGAAAUUAAAAAGGAGGGGAUGUAGAGAGCUUUUAGGGAUACUUCUAGAAAGUUGGCAAGAAUCUGACUUUGGCCUAGAACAAAGAAGUAGUCUUCAGGCAUGAAUUUGACUUUGGGCUAGGACAGGGAAGUAGGCUCAGAUAUCUUGGCCAUCCUGAUAAGCCCCUAGAAACAGUGAUCACAGGACUUUGUUUAUUGCCUUGUUUGUUCCUCGACUAUUUGUGUUUACUGCCUUGUCUUUUCUUUAACCUAGAACUGACCUUAUUAUUUGCAUGUAAUUAAAAUGGUAUAAAAGCAGAUUGGGAAACAAAUAAGCCCACAUCAGCCUAUGAACUGGCUGGGGUCAUGCUACAGUCUUGUCUAAUUGUCUUUCUUUCUUUUUAAUCCUCUCUUUAUCCCUGGAGAACCUGUUGACUGACUGAGUUGGCUUGGUUGCCUCAUCAUGAUAGACUGUCUGCUAGAGUCAUGAUACAACAAACCAUGCUUUCCCUAUGUUGCUUCUGUUAGAACAUUUUAAGACAGUAAGACUGGUAAAUCUAUACAAACAACAGAUAAAUUAGUAUUUAGAGGUUAGGAGAGUCAUUUUAUAACAAUCUAGGAGAGUUCCAGAAGAGAGUAUUGCAAUUCCAUUUUGCAUGGGCCCAAUAAUAUGGUUUUAAAAUAAAGCAAGCUUUGAAUUAACAGAAGUGAAAAUCUGUCUAUCAUUAAGCAUUAGAAUAUAUGUACAAGUUGACAUUCAUAUGCAUAGGAUACUGCAAGCAAAUUCUGCACCCAUGUUAUUUUCCAGAGUGCAGUACACCUGCACUGUUGCUGCUGAACCACCAGACAAAAGUUUAAAAGUAUUCGAAGCAUGCUUUCUGUCUGCAGUGUAAUAAUAUAUACAUGAAUUUUAGGUAGGGCUCUAGAAAAUACUCAGCAGUUUUUUAAGGUUAAAUGAUAUUUUCCUGAAAUGUGGAGAAGAAACCAUAAUAGGAAUUAGAGAAUUUGUGCUGGACAAUCAGAAUAUAUCAACAGAAGUGCACUAGACUAACACAGUGCUCAGAGAAGCUGAUAGUCCUUAAAUGCUCACAUUAAAACAUGUAAAGGUAAUGAUGAUCAAAGGCACCAGUGUGGUGCUCAAGAAGGGAGAACAGUGGAGCAGCAAGAUAGACACAAAGAGCAGGAGAAAGCGAUGGUAUUGGUGAGAACAGAAACCAGUGGGAGAGAUAAGAGAGGAGUAAUUCAGUAAAGUAACAAAAACAGUGCUGGGAUCUAUCAGUUAAUGACAUCCACAGACUCUCAGAGCAACUAAGGAAAAGAGAAGUCAUCAACACCAGGAAAGAAAGAAGAGACAUUAUUAACCAGCCAACUAACAUUAAGAAGAAAAUGAGCCUUUUUUUUUUAACAAUUCCAUCUCAAUGUAUUCAGAGAAUGAAGAAGGACCCUGUUUUUCAAACAACACAGUCUACAAAGCCUUAAACAUCAGACUGAAAAACUGGGAUGACCUCACAGUGUUGAAAGAGCCUAUUUGUGUAAACUCAAAACUUUACCUCACAAAUGAGAUGUCUUUAUGCAUAGAUUUUCUUUCCAUUAUGGAAUAAGUCACAUGAAGUUUAUGGAGACAUUUCAGUAGAUGGAAAAACAAAGCAAAAGUCCCUAAACAGUUUUUUAUGAAACAGUCUAGUUUUAUUUCCAACUGAUAAGAAUAUUGGUAGCUAAGCAAAUAUAACAGCUUAGAAUUAGAAGCUCUGAUAAAAAUAAUAGAAAUUGAUGAGCUUUAAAUAAAAGAGAAAAA